CUGGGGAAACCCGGUCAGAUGGGUGGGGUAUAAAUAAUAAUAAUAAUAAAAAUAAUAAUAAUAAUAAUUUAUUUAUACCCUGCCCAUCUGGCUGGGUUUCCCCAG